rnacentral:rRNA from 1 species
UCGGGAUAAGCCUGGGAAACUGGGUCUAAUACCGGAUAGGACGAUGGUUUGGAUGCCAUUGUGGAAAGUUUUUUCGGUGUGGGAUGGGCUCGCGGCCUAUCAGCUUGUUGGUGGGGUAAUGGCCUACCAAGGCGUCGACGGGUAGCCGGCCUGAGAGGGUGUACGGCCACAUUGGGACUGAGAUACGGCCCAG